AUUAUCAAACAGUCGUUCGACGAAAAACUCAAAUGAGUGUUAAACAGUAAGUCCGUCAAGAGGAUAUGACCCAAGCCCUAACCUUAAACGCCAGUUUAAAACCGGCUUGAGAUUAAAUUGUCAUGUGAAUAACAGGCCACACAAAAAUAUUUUAUGUCCUUUCUUUAUUUUAUUUCAAUAUUAUAUCUAUGGUUUGCAUUCACCUUGCAUUAUUGAUCUUGAUAAUGGGAGCCGCCAUCUACAAUGAAAACAAAUUGUUUGUUAGGUAGGAUAUGCAAGAAAACUCCAUGAAUGAUGUAAAAUCUGUGCUUCUUCGAGGUUGCCACACAUAUAAUUGCAGGUACGGUUCUAAAGCUUGUCCUCAAACGUUACCUAUGAUGGUAUAAAAUCCGAGGAGUAAUCUUAUCGUAUCAAAGAAUCAUCUUCUAUAUUAUCAGGAUAGACCCGCCAAAUCUUGUAACUUCUAUUUGAAUCAUAAUAAAAAUCUUUGUUUAUUUGAUGUAUAUAUAGAAGUGUUUUAUUGUU